rnacentral:rRNA from 1 species
GAGUUUGAUCCUGGCUCAGAUUGAACGCUGGCGGCACGCUUAACACAUGCAAGUCGAACGGCAGCACAGUGGUGGGUAACCAUCACCGGUGGCGAGUGGCGGACGGGUGAGUAACGCGUAGGGAUCUGUCUUUUAGUGGGGGAUAACCUAGGGAAACUUGGGCUAAUACCGCAUAUAUUCUGAGGAAGAAAGUGGGCGAGGUGGCGACACCGGCUCACGCUAAGAGGGGAACCUGCGUCGGAUUAGCUAGUUGGUUAGGUAACGGCUGACCAAGGCGAUGAUCCGUAGCUGGUCUGAGAGGAUGGCCAGCCACACUGGGACUGAGAAACGGCCCAGACUCCUACGGGAGGCAGCAGUGGGGAAUAUUGGACAAUGGGGGCAACCCUGAUCCAGCGAUGCCGUGUGUGUGAAGAAGGCCUGCGGGUUGUAAAGCACUUUAGUUGGGGAGGAAGGGAUUUUGGGUGAAUAAUCCAGAGUCUUUGACGUUACCCAAAGAAUAAGCACCGGCAAACUCUGUGCCAGCAGCCGCGGUAAUACAGAGGGUGCGAGCGUUAAUCGGAUUUAUUGGGCGUAAAGGGCGCGUAGGUGGAUGGAUGAGUCUUGUGUGAAAUCCCUGGGCUUAACCUAGGAAUGGCAUGAGAUACUGUUUGUCUAGAGUGAAGUAGAGGGUAGCGGAAUUUCCGGUGUAGCGGUGAAAUGCGUAGAUAUCGGAAGGAACACCAGUGGCGAAGGCGGCUACCUGGACUUUAACUGACACUGAGGCGCGAAAGCGUGGGGAGCGAACAGGAUUAGAUACCCUGGUAGUCCACGCCGUAAACGAUGAAAACUAGCUGUUAUCAGACGAUGUUUGAUAGUAGCGCAGCUAACGCAAUAAGUUUUCCGCCUGGGGAGUACGGCCGCAAGGCUAAAACUCAAAGGAAUUGACGGGGGCCCGCACAAGCGGUGGAGCAUGUGGUUUAAUUCGAUGCAACGCGAAGAACCUUACCUACUCUUGACAUCUACGGAACUUCCCAGAGAUGGGAGGGUGCCUGCGAGGGAACCGUAAGACAGGUGCUGCAUGGCUGUCGUCAGCUCGUGUCGUGAGAUGU